rnacentral:rRNA from 1 species
UGGGGAAUCUUGCGCAAUGGGCGAAAGCCUGACGCAGCAACGCCGCGUGAGCGAAGAAGGCCUUCGGGUUGUAAAGCUCUGUCAGGGGGAAAGAAGGCACCUGGGUUAAUAGCCCAAGGGCUGACGGUACCUCCAAAGGAAGCCACGGCUAACUACGUGCCAGCAGCCGCGGUAAUACGUAGGUGGCGAGCGUUGUCCGGAAUCAUUGGGCGUAAAGAGCGCGUAGGUGGCUUGUCAGGUCCGAUGUGAAAACCUGGGGCUCAACUCCAGGCCUGCAUCGGAAACCGGCUUGCUAAAGUCUGGGAGAGGAGAGCGGAAUUCCUGGUGUAGCGGUGAAAUGCGUAGAUAUCAGGAGGAACACCGGUAGCGAAGGCGGCUCUCUGGAACAGUACUGACGCUGAGGCGCGAAAGCUAGGGGAGCGAACAG